rfam:Schistosoma rodhaini strain Burundi genome assembly, scaffold: SROB_scaffold0000304
AUUCAGCUGACGCGUCCUAAAUAGGACGAAACACGCGCCCUGGAU